UCGGUAGGUUUAAAGACCAAUUUCCAUAAAUCUACUAUCAUACCCCUCAACUGUGGGCAGGAGGUCACAAACACAUUGGCAAAUAUUUUUGGCUGUGUUAUUGGCAAGCUACCAUUUACCUAUCUUGGCCUACCCAUGGGCACCACCAAACCAACUAUUUUGGACCUCAUGCCUCUGGUCUGCCGUGUGGAGAGACGACUUUUGGCCACCCUCAACAUGAUUACAUAUGGAGGAAAACUCACAUUGUUGAAUUCAGUCAUAACUUCUCUCAUCAUCUUCGCUCUUUGCACACUCAAACUCCCAGCAGGCAUCAUAGAACUUAUUGACAAAAUCCGCAGAAAGUGCCUCUGGACAAAGAAAACUGAUCAAGGUGAUAAGUGCAACUCGUUGGCA
rnacentral:rRNA from 1 species